GACGGGGGAUGCAAGCGUUAUCCGGAAUGAUUGGGCGUAAAGCGUCUGUAGGUGGUUUAUUAAGUCUAGUGUUAAAGAUCAGGGCUUAACCCUGAGUCGGCAGUAGAAACUGAUGAGCUUGAGUACGGUAGGGGCAGAGGGAAUUCCCGGUGUAGCGGUGAAAUGCGUAGAGAUCGGGAAGAACACCAAUGGCGAAAGCACUCUGCUGGGCCGAAACUGACACUCAGAGACGAAAGCUAGGGGAGCGAAUGGG
rnacentral:rRNA from 1 species